GGUCAGGACCAGGUACAUACAGGUCAGGACCAGGUACAUACAGGUCAGGUUAGGACCAGGUACAUACAGGUCAGGUUAGGACCAGGUACAUACAGGUCAGGUCAGGACCAGGUACAUACAGGUCAGGACCAGGUACAUACAGGUCAGGACCAGGUACAUACAGGUCAGGACCAGGUACAUACAGGUUAGGACCAGGUACAUACAGGCCAGUACCAGGUACAUACAGGUCAGGACCAGGUACAUACAGGUCAGGUCAGGACCAGGUACAUACAGGUCAGGUUAGGACCAGGUACAUACAGGUCAGGUUAGGACCAGGUACAUACAGGUCAGGUCAGGACCAGGUACAUACAGGUCAGGACCAGGUACAUACAGGUCAGGACCAGGUACAUACAGGUCAGGACCAGGUACAUACAGGUCAGGUUAGGACCAGGUACAUGCAGGUCAGGACCAGGUACAUACAGGUCAGGUCAGGUCAGGACCAGGUACAUACAGGUCAGGACCAGGUACAUACAGGUCAGGUCAGGUUAGGACCAGGUACCAGUGGUAAACAGAUGGAACCACACACCAGACCGGCUGUAUGUUGACGUCAUGGAGAUAGCAUAGAGAUAGGUUGACAUUUAUGAUUGACAGAUGAAACAGACUGAAGUGGUUGUGCAGGUCAGGUACUGACGAACAGAUAGAAGCAUGUCUCAGCAGACCGUAUAGCGCCACUCAGGGUCAACCAGGGUUACCAUGACACAUUUAGGCCCAGUUCCCUCCUUUGACCUAUGACCUAUGCUUAAUCAGUGUCCAGGAAAACACUUAACACUUAUUGUCCCUGUUGACCCAAUACAAACAAAAUAAAUAAUAUAAAUAUUAAUGAAUAAUAAUGAAUAAAAGGUGUCUGGUCAACCGGUUAUGCCGUUUUGUUUUGAGGAACAAUAGGAGGUCCUUUCAUCCGUUGUCUUUCUCCGAUUGUACAUUAUGGUGUAAAUAAAUAAAACACACACACACACAACACAACAUAGCAGAAGCAUGUUUUUGUCUUUCAUCCUUCCUUCCUUCCUUCCUUUCAUCCUUCCUUCCUUCCAUCCUUCCUUCCUUCCUUUCAUCCUUCCUUCCAUCCUUCCUUCCUUUCAUCCUUCCUUCCAUCCUUCCUUCCUUUCAUCCUUCCUUCCUUCCAUCCUUCCUUCCUUCCUUCCAUCCAUCCUUCCUUCCUUCCUUCCAUCCUUCCUUCCUUCCAUCCAUCCUUCCUUUCAUCCUUCCUUCCAUCCUUCCUUCCAUCCAUCCUUCCUUCCUUCCUUCCAUCCUUCCAUCCUUCCAUCCUUCCUUCCUUUCAUCCUUCCUUCCUUUCAUCCUUCCUUCCAUCCUUCCAUCCUUCCUUCCUUUCAUCCUUCCUUCCUUUCAUCCUUCCUUCCUUCCAUCCUUCCUUCUUUCCACUCUCUCUUUCUCUUCACUCCUUACCUUUUUGUAAUGGUCAACUGUAACCGUAGCAUAGAAGCGCUAGAAACAAACGAGGAAUGGAAUAGUACACAUGUACUGUAUGUAAAUCAUAUGUCUUGAUUGGCACUUUCCC
ensembl:lncRNA